rnacentral:lncRNA from 1 species
UGCCAUACAGGUUCCGGAGCUCCAGAUCCAUUGCAGGAGGGACCGUGGCGCUUGAGGGAGACGGGCGAUGACUGGGAGGGCGACUCCGGGCGGAGAGGCGCAACCCUAAGGACUGUCGCUCCGGGAUCGCCUAGCGGCGGGGACCACCGCACGCCGGCUUGGACACCUCGGCGCUUCGGCGGGCGUGGAGCAGCGGCGUGGGACGCCACCUGGAGCGCAGCUGCCCAGGUAUGAACAGUAAUGGCCUUUAUUUCACUUCCGAGUUCCUUGGUAAACUGUGGACUGAAUGAACUGUAUCCAUCUCCGUCAUGAUGUACAACACCAAGU